CCUGACCCCAUGCGGAAACUGGUGUGACGUGUGCAGUUCGCACAUGAGGUGCCAUCGUCAAAUAGCCCAGGCGUGAAGGUCGACUUGGGGCACAUCAAGAUGAUGAAGCCGGAGAGGAACUACGGCACUUACAUGGGAUCCCUCACCACCCCACCAUGCGCGGAGGGUGUCACCUGGAUUCUGUCGUUGUUCAACUUUCAAACGGCGUCCGCGGAACAGCUGGCUAAGCUCCGGGCUUCUGUGCCGAAGGGACACAACAACCGUCCAACCUUCGGCAGCGCCGGAAGGGGUUUCCGCAUGCGCACCAACGCUUGAGGUAUCAGGGUGGCGCCAGGAUGGAGAUGUAAGCGACACGAAGUGUGGCAGCUUGUAAAAUGCGACGCCUCGACGCUGAUGGCGUCGGUGUUUGUAGACUAGUGCAUUCAACUCCCUCUCUUUCCCACGAAUUGAGCCGGGCGUGGAGUGGAAUGAUGUAGAGUAGAAGUCAGUGUAGAGGCUGACAAGAGAGUGCGCAGACUGGAUGUGGUUUGCGCCUCGUCAGAAUGGUAGAUUUGACGCUAAUGCCGAGCUCCGUGGAAGCAAAGCAGCUUCACGGUUGUACCACUAUGCACCUCUCAAUGGAAGUUUGGUUGAAUCCGGGUUUUCGCUGGAGUUCCCAGCAGA